rnacentral:rRNA from 1 species
CAGUCGCCGCGGUAAUACAGAGGGUGCGAGCGUUAAUCGGAUUUACUGGGCGUAAAGCGUGCGUAGGCGGCUUUUUAAGUCGGAUGUGAAAUCCCUGAGCUUAACUUAGGAAUUGCAUUCGAUACUGGGAAGCUAGAGUAUGGGAGAGGAUGGUAGAAUUCCAGGUGUAGAGGUGAAAUUCGUAGAUAUUCGGAAGAACACCAGUGGCGAAGGCGGCUCACUGGCUCAUACUGGACGCUGAGGUGCGAAAGCGUGGGGAGCAAACAGGAUUAGAUACCCCGGUAGUCCCUGUCUCUUAUAC